GGACGAACGCUGGCGGCAGGCUUAACACAUGCAAGUCGAACGCAUCCUUCGGGAUGAGUGGCAGACGGGUGAGUAACGCGUGGGAACGUGCCCAGAGGUACGGACUAACAACGGGAAACUGUUGCUAAUGCCGUAUACGCCCUUAGGGGGAAAGAUUUAUCGCCGAUAGAUGGGCCCGCGUUCGAUUAGAUAGUUGGUGGGGUAACGCCUACCAAGUCUACGAUCGAUAGCUGGUCU
rnacentral:rRNA from 1 species